rnacentral:rRNA from 1 species
AGAGUUUGAUGGUGGCUCAGAACGAACGCUGGCGGCGUGUUUAAGACAUGCAAGUCGUACGAGGAAUCCAUGAAGCUUGCUUUGAGGAUUCCUAGUGGCGCACGGGUGAGUAACACGUGAGUUACAUGCCCUGCAGUGGGGAAUAGCCCGCCGAAAGGCGGAUUAAUACCCCAUGGUACCGCAAGGUUAAAGGUGGCUUCGGCUGCCGCUGCAGGAUUGGCUCGCGUCCUAUCAGCUUGUUGGUGAGGUAACGGCUCACCAAGGCUACGACGGGUACCUGGUCUGAGAGGACGAUCAGGCACACUGGAACUGAGACACGGUCCAGACACCUACGGGUGGCAGCAGUCGAGAAUAAUUCACAAUGGACGAAAGUCUGAUGGUGCAACGCCGCGUGGAGGAUGACGGUCCUCGGAUUGUAAACUCCUGUCAUCGGGGAGUAAGACCUGGGCAUUAAUAGUGCACAGGGUUGAUAGUACCCGAAGAGGAAGGGACGGCUAACUUCGUGCCAGCAGCCGCGGUAAUACGAAGGUCCCGAGCGUUGUUCGGAAUCACUGGGCGUAAAGGGAGCGUAGGCGGUGUGGUAAGUCAGAUGUGAAAUCCCGGGGCUCAACCUCGGAACUGCAUCCGAUACUGCCACACUCGAGUAGUGGAGGGGUAGAUGGAAUUCUCGGUGUAGCAGUGAAAUGCGUAGAUAUCGAGAGGAACACUCAUGGCGAAGGCAAUCUACUGGACACUUACUGACGCUGAGGCUCGAAGGCCAGGGUAGCGAAAGGGAUUAGAUACCCCUGUAGUCCUGGCAGUAAACGGUGUGCGCUUGGUGUGAGGGGGUUUCGACCCCCCCUUGUGCCGGAGCUAACGCGUUAAGCGCACCGCCUGGGAAGUACGGUCGCAAGACUAAAAACUCAAAGAAAUUGACGGGGGACCCGCACAAGCGGG